rnacentral:rRNA from 1 species
GAUGAACGCUGGCGGCGUGCCUAAUACAUGCAAGUCGAGCGAACUUUUGGGAGCUUGCUCCCAAAAGUUAGCGGCGGACGGGUGAGUAACACGUGGGUAACCUGCCUGUAAGACUGGGAUAACUUCGGGAAACCGGAGCUAAUACCGGAUAACAUUGAAGACCAAAUGGCCUUCAUUUAAAAGGGGGUUUUUAGCUACCAUUUACAGAUGGACCCGCGGCGCAUUAGCUAGUUGGUGAGGUAACGGCCCACCAAGGCGACGAUGCGUAGCCGACCUGAGAGGGUGAUCGGCCACACUAGGACUGAGACACGGCCCAGACUCCUACGGGAGGCAGCAGUAGGGAAUCUUCCGCAAUGGACGAAAGUCUGACGGAGCAACGCCGCGUGAGCGAAGAAGGCCUUCGGGUCGUAAAGCUCUGUUGUUAGGGAAGAACAAGUAUCGUUCGAAUAGGGCGGUACCUUGACGGUACCUAACCAGAAAGCCACGGCUAACUACGUG